UACGAAGGGGGCGAGCGUUGUUCGGAAUUACUGGGCGUAAAGGGCGCGUAGGCGGCCGAUCAAGUCAGAUGUGAAAGUCCUGGGCUUAACCUGGGGACUGCAUUUGAUACUGAUUGGCUUGAAUUCGGGAGAGGAUAGUGGAAUUCCCAGUGUAGAGGUGAAAUUCGUAGAUAUUGGGAAGAACACCGAUAGUGAAGACAGCUCACUAAGCUCAAACUGACGCUGAGGCACGAAAGUGUGGGGAUCAAACAGG
rnacentral:rRNA from 1 species